rnacentral:rRNA from 1 species
AGUGAACGCUGGCGGUAGGCCUAACACAUGCAAGUCGAACGGCAGCACAGUAAGAGCUUGCUCUUACGGGUGGCGAGUGGCGGACGGGUGAGGAAUACAUCGGAAUCUACUUUUUCGUGGGGGAUAACGUAGGGAAACUUACGCUAAUACCGCAUACGACCUACGGGUGAAAGCAGGGGAUCUUCGGACCUUGCGCGAUUGAAUGAGCCGAUGUCGGAAUAGCUAGUUGGCGGGGUAAAGGCCCACCAAGGCGACGAUCCGUAGCUGGUCUGAGAGGGUGAUCACCCACACGGGAAAUGAGAAACGGUCCAGACCCCAGGGGGAGGCAGAAGGGGGGAAUAUUGGACAAGGGGCGCAAGCCUGAUCCAGCCAUACCGGGGGGGUGAAGAAGGCCUUCGGGUUGUAAAGCCCUUUUGUUGGGAAAAAAAAGCAGCAGGUUAAACCCCCGCUGUUCUGACGGUACCAAAAAAAUAAGCACCGGCUAACUUCGG